ensembl:lncRNA
CACGCACACGCACACACAUGCACACACCCACACACCAAGACAUACCUUCCUGCAAAGCCUCAGAUAGACAACCCCCAAGCCCCAGGCACCCACGCUGAGUGGUGGGGGUGGGGGAGCCAGAUUGAAGUGGCCAGGGCAGGAGGAGGGAGCUGCAGAAAGACUGAGGGUGCAAAACAAACACAAGCCCAGCAGACAUUUCUCAGCCUGUUAAUUUCCUACAGUUCUGUUUUCCAGCCUCAGAAACAAGCUGGUUUCUGCCAGUUCACCCCCUUCCCCUGCCUGCACUGUGCAGCUGGUGAGCAGGGAGAAGUUGCAGGGAGGAGGGGGCCCAGAGGAGCUGGGAGGGGACUGGGUCCUCAUUUGAUUUAUAGAAGGACAGGCAAGAUGCAGAGAUGUCUCAGAAGCUGUGACUCCCCAAAGAGAAGCCCAACUGGAAGAUUUGCAGGCUGGACCAGUAUAACCAGACAAAGCUGAGUCUACAGGAGGAGGUUCCAAAGGGGUGAAGGCGGGAAGGGAUUUCCUGCAUCUCUAGUGUCUGUAUCAUCACCACUUUCAGGGGACUCGGUAUGAGAGGUGGAAAUUGAAUGUCACAGGCCUAGAAAAAG